rnacentral:misc_RNA from 1 species
CCUCCUUAAAAAAUAAUCGCUUAGGAUAGGCGUUCACACGAAUAACUUGCUUUUACCUAAAUCAUUUCUUUACAGAUUUGAGAUUAAGAAGCGUUCUUUAACAUUUUUAUAAGUUCAAUCAAGUCACAUCAUAGUGUCUUUGUUUUUUAAUUUAGAUAUGAAUGAUGUGCAAAUGUCACCAAACCCGUCAUGUUUUAGAACAUAAGUUUGGUGUACAUACUGCAAAGUAAUUUUGGCGAAUGACAAUAGAUACUUGAAGAACAUUAAUCAUUAAGUUGUUUGAUGUAAUAUGGUCAAGUAAUUAAGCGCAUACGGUGGAUGCCUUGGCAGCUAGAGGCGAUGAAGGACGUAGUAACUUGCGAUAAGCUUCGGGGAGCCGGUAAACAGGCUUUGAUCCGAAGAUUUCCGAAUGGGGA